rnacentral:rRNA from 1 species
UACGAAGGGGGCUAGCGUUGCUCGGAAUGACUGGGCGUAAAGGGUGCGUAGGCGGUCGGGUAAGUCUGAUGUGAAAUCUCACAGCUUAACUGUGAAAACUGCAUUGGAUACUAUCCGGCUUGAGGAAUGGAGGGGAGACUGGAAUUCCUGGUGUAGCGGUGGAAUGCGCAGAUAUCAGGAGGAACACCGGUGGCGAAGGCGGGGUCUCUGGGCAGUAACUGACGUGAGGAGCGAAAAGCGUGGGGGAGCGAAACAGG